CAAUAGCGUAUAUUAAAGUUGUUGCAGUUAAAAAGCUCGUAGUUGGAUUUCUGGUCGGAAGCUCCUGUCCUCUGAUGAGCGUACAAGUGCGUCCUACCAUCCUUCUGUUAACUUUUAAGGCUUUCGCGGCUUUCUAGGGGCUCAGAUAUUUUACCUUGAGAAAAUUAGAGUGUUUCAGGCAGGCUAGCGCCGGAAUACAUUAGCAUGGAAUAAUGGAAUAGGACUUUUGCCUCUUCUGUUGGUCAUGAGGCUCGAGUAAUGAUUAAUAGGGAUAGUUGGGGGCAUUAGUACUUAACUGUCAGAGGUGAAAUUCUCGGAUUUGUUAAAGACUAACUUAUGCGAAAGCAUUUGCCAAGGAUGUUUUCAUUA
rnacentral:rRNA from 1 species